rnacentral:rRNA from 1 species
ACUCCUACGGGAGGCAGCAGUGGGGAAUCUUGGACAAUGGGCGCAAGCCUGAUCCAGCCAUGCCGCGUGAGUGAUGAAGGCCUUAGGGUCGUAAAGCUCUUUCGCCAGGGAUGAUAAUGACAGUACCUGGUAAAGAAACCCCGGCUAACUCCGUGCCAGCAGCCGCGGUAAUACGGAGGGGUUAGCGUUGUUCGGAAUUACUGGGCGUAAAGCGCGCGUAGGCGGAUCGGAAAGUUGGGGGUGAAAUCCCGGGGCUCAACCCCGGAACUGCCUCCAAAACAUAUCGGUCUAGAGUUCGAGAGAGGUGAGUGGAAUUCCGAGUGUAGAGGUGAAAUUCGUAGAUAUUCGGAGGAACACCAGUGGCGAAGGCGGCUCACUGGCUCGAUACUGACGCUGAGGUGCGAAAGUGUGGGGAGCAAACAGGAUUAGAUACCCUGGUAGCGAG